GCCUUUGUUGUGUAAGGGUAACACACUCGGUGCAUAUUCGAGAGGUCCAGGUUCGAGUCCCGGCUGGGGCA
rnacentral:tRNA from 1 species